rnacentral:misc_RNA from 1 species
UUUCCGUAGGUGAACCUGCGGAAGGAUCAUUAAUGUGUUUGGGCCUCACGGCUCUUCAUUCCGACGCUGUGCGCCUUCGGGCUGCACGCUGAGGGAGCGUAUAUCCACCCCUGUGCACACGCACGGUGGCGAGCUGGGUAACGGCUCGCCGCUGAUCUUUACACACGUCUAAAAGUCAUUGUAUGUUUAUUUGAGAUAAAAACACAACUUUCAGCAACGGAUCUCUUGGCUCUC